rnacentral:rRNA from 1 species
UCGAGCGGAAAGGCCCUUUCGGGGGUACUCGAGCGGCGAACGGGUGAGUAGACACGUGAGUAAUCUGCCCUGGACUCUGGGAUAGCCACCGGAAACGGUGAUUAAUACCGGAUAUGACCACUCUAGGCAUCUAGUGGUGGUGGAAAGUUUUUCGGUCCAGGAUGUGCUCGCGGCCUAUCAGCUUGUUGGUGAGGUAAUGGCUCACCAAGGCUUUGACGGGUAGCCGGCCUGAGAGGGUGACCGGUCACACUGGGACUGAGACACGGCCCAGACUCCUACGGGAGGCAGCAGUGGGGAAUAUUGGACAAUGGGCGGAAGCCUGAUCCAGCAACGCCGCGUGAGGGAUGACGGCCUUCGGGUUGUAAACCUCUUUCAGUACCGACGAAGCGAAAGUGACGGUAGGUACAGAAGAAGGACCGGCCAACUACGUGCCAGCAGCCGCGGUAAUACGUAGGGUCCGAGCGUUGUCCGGAAUUAUUGGGCGUAAAGGGCUCGUAGGCGGUUUGUCGCGUCGGGAGUGAAAACAGCGGGCUUAACUCGUUGCUUGCUUUCGAUACGGGCAGACUAGAGGUAUGCAGGGGAGAAUGGAAUUCCUGGUGUAGCGGUGAAAUGCGCAGAUAUCAGGAGGAACACCGGUGGCGAAGGCGGUUCUCUGGGCAUUACCUGACGCUGAGGAGCGAAAGUGUGGGGAGCGAACAGGAUUAGAUACCCUGGUAGUCCACACCGUAAACGUUGGGCGCUAGGUGUGGGGUCCUUUCCACGG